AUUGAACGCUGGCGGCAGGCUUAACACAUGCAAGUCGAGCGGAGAUGAGGUGCUUGCACCUUAUCUUAGCGGCGGACGGGUGAGUAAUGCUUAGGAAUCUGCCUAUUAGUGGGGGACAACAUUCCGAAAGGAAUGCUAAUACCGCAUACGUCCUACGGGAGAAAGCAGGGGAUCUUCGGACCUUGCGCUAAUAGAUGAGCCUAAGUCGGAUUAGCUAGUUGGUGGGGUAAAGGCCUACCAAGGCGACGAUCUGUAGCGGGUCUGAGAGGAUGACCCGCCAAACUGGGACUGAGACACGGCCCAGACUCCUACGGGAGGCAGCAGUGGGGAAUAUUGGACAAUGGGGGGAACCCUGAUCCAGCCAUGCCGCGUGUGUGAAGAAGGCCUUAUGGUUGUAAAGCACUUUAAGCGAGGAGGAGGCUACUGAGACUAAUACUCUUGGAUAGUGGACGUUACUCGCAGAAUAAGCACCGGCUAACUCUGUGCCAGCAGCCGCCGUAAGAC
rnacentral:rRNA from 1 species